rnacentral:rRNA from 1 species
UACAGAGGGUGCAAGCGUUGUUCGGAAUUACUGGGCGUAAAGCGUGCGUAGUCGGUAUUGAGAGUCGCGGGUGAAAUCCCAGGGCUUAACCCUGGAACUGCCUGCGAGACCUCAGUACUAGAGUGUGAGAGGGGAUAGUGGAAUACCAAGUGUAGCGGUGAAAUGCGUAGAGAUUUGGUGGAACACCGGUGGCGAAGGCGGCUAUCUGGGCCGAUUCUGACGCUGAGGCGCGAAAGCGUGGGGAGCAAACAGGG